rnacentral:rRNA from 1 species
AUGACCCUGAGGAUGAGCAUAGACUGCAACGGGUGCUACCAGAAGAUCAGGAGGGCGCUGCUCCAGAUGCAAGAACUGGAGAGCCACCUGAUCGACCGGAAGCGUGAGCGUCUGGGGCGCCUUCAGCUGAGUAUACAGAAUUGUUCAUGGCUUGCUGAAUGUGGAAGGAUUGCAUCAAAUCGGUCUACCCCAAACAUACCAAGAUUGGACAGCGAAAACGUCCCUAUACAUCAGCAGAUCUCCAUGUGUAAGAAGGCCGCCCUCGAUGGCAACCGCCACCGCAAUGUUGAUACUACUGUUGUAACUGAAGCUCUUUCCAUCCCUGCAGCUGGCAUUCACAACUGGGUGCUGAGCAAGUGCCAUGCCUGCCGCUUUCACCAGCAACAAUGUUUUUGUAACCCCUUUCAACUUAACCUGCACAACCCAUUUUAA